rnacentral:rRNA from 1 species
CUAAAAAACCCCCCUUCAUAACUUUUUAAGACCUCAAAUCAGGUGGGACUACCCGCUGAACUUAAGCAUAUC